AACUCAUGUUGAGGACAUUUCUGUAGGAGCUCCUUGAACCUGUCCCUUAUCUCAAAAAGAGACUUUAAUUUCGUUUGCACAAAAGAAGAUAUCUCAUUCCUAAGCUU